rnacentral:tRNA from 1 species
GUGGAUGUAGCUUAGUUGGUAGAGUGAUUGCCUCCCAUGCACAAGGCCCUGGGUUCAAUCCCAGCACCACC